rnacentral:tRNA from 1 species
AGCGAGUAAGCUAAGAUUUUGCAAGUUUCGGCCUUGUUUUUGCCCAGGUUGGGCCUUAGCUG